GCUGAAAUAGCUCAGUUGGGAGAGCGUCAGACUGAAGAUUUGAAGGACCCUGGUUCAAUCCCAGGUUUUGGCA